GAUGAACGCUAGCUACAGGCUUAACACAUGCAAGUCGAGGGACCGGCGCACGUGUGAGUAACACGUAUCCAACCUGCCCUUUACUCGGUGAUAGCCUUUCGAAAGAAAGAUUAAUACCCGCUAUAAAGGAUGGGGAUGCUUUCCAUUAGGUUGUUGGUGAGGUAACGGCCCACCAAGCCUGCGAUGGAUAGGGGUUCUGAGAGGAAGGUCCCCCACAUUGGAACUGUGACCCGGUCCAAACUCCUCCGGGAGGCAGCAGUGAGGAAUAUUGGUCAAUGGGCGUUAGCCUGAACCAGCCAAGUAGCGUGAAGGAUGAAGGCUUAUAGGGAGUAAACUUCUUUUAUAUAAGAAUAGGUAUUAUAUGAAUAAGGAUCGGCUAACUCCGUGCCAGCAGCCGCGGUAAUAC
rnacentral:rRNA from 1 species